rnacentral:lncRNA from 1 species
UAUUUACUCACUAAAAAUAUUUUUACUCAAAAAUUGUCUUGAAAAUUCUAUUCAGAUUAUUUUAAUCAUGUGUCAAAUUCAUGUGCAUGGCAUAAGUAGAAAAAUCAGGAUUGUUAUUUUUGGUGAAAGGAAUUGUCUUUUUUAUAAAUAUUUAUUUUUGAACUCUCAAGCAUCAAUUCAAACAAUAUGAGUAUGUAUCAGUCAGUUUUGUGUGUGUGUAUGUCUGCUCUGUUAUCUGUUUGUUAAGUCUCUUCAUUUAAAAAAAAUAUUUAUCAUUUUUGAAUACAUAGGCAAACUGACUAUUUAUGAAUUCUACUCCUUCAAAACUAUAUGGGUUAUUUCCCCUUAAAGAGAACUUUUCAGACAUUACUAAAUAUUCAUUGAGUUUUAAUAGCAUUCACAACUUUAAGGCAUGUUAUUGCUUAACAUGGGAUUGCUUGCUUAUGAAUCAUGAAUUGGCCAUUUCAUUGAAAAUGAGAAAAAUUGUAAAUAUCCCUUUAGAUUACUAUUGUCAUGUGACUCUAGAAUACUAUUGUCAUGUGACUUUAGAUUACUAUUGUCAUGUGACUUAAUUCCUGGAAGAUGACCAUUCCCUAGUAUUAAACUGCUCAGAUUGGCAUGGCUUAUUUGUUUAGACAAGGACUUUUGUCUGCAUUGCAUGAUUGUAUAACAAUGGUGUCUGUUUCAAAAAAAAUUGUGGAACAUAUUUAAAUGUUCAAGUUUUAAAAAACCCAACAAUUUGCUAACAUAAGGUGAUUUUACCUAGUAAUGUCACACUCAUUCAUAGUUAGUGCAUGCAAAACAUUAUUCUGCUAACAAAAUUACACCUCUAACCCGCAAAAACAUUUGCCAUUAAAAGCAUGGAGCAUUAUUUUUAUUAAUUACAUAUUCAAAUUUGUAUGAAAUUUUUCAGUAAUGUAAAGCUAAGAUUUAUCAUCUUAACCAAUUGUUUAAUUGACAUAAGUGUCAAUACAGACAUAAGUCUUUCUCUAUCCAAUCAGAUUAGGUGUUACAAAUUUGUAUGCUAACACUGAUCAUGCUUUGGAUCACAUGCUUAGAAGUAAGGGAGAUCACUCAUUGCAUCAUUUAAACAAAUUAAUACCUCAGUGGGACUUUUUUAGAGUGUAUAAGAUUAAGGAGAUGAAGCAACACAUUACCCAUUUGUCUUUCAAACUAAAAAAAGGUGAAUACAAAUCAUUUAAUCAUUUUUUUAGGGGACACAUGCUAGAAAGAAGCAUGUUUUGUUGUUAUCAUUUAAUAUUAAUGACAUCAUUUAGACUGAAUGAUUUAUAAUAUACUGUGAAGAGUUACAACACUGUGUUAUAAUUGUCCAAAGUUCCAUUUAUUUAUGUUACAACUCCCCCCUAGUUUACUGAUAUAGGUACACUUUUCUUGAAGUCGAUCUUCAUAGAGAAAUAACUUUUUUUCUGUGUCUCUAAACUUUAGACUUGUGCUUUGCUAUUUUUGUGUUCACUGUAAAAAUCUAGUGCUCUAGUUUUAAUUGUACAUAAAUUGCCAGUUAUAAACACUUAUUUAUAUCAUAAUCAUUUGUAUAUAUCAUUAUUGACCAG